CGGGGUGUAGCGCAGCCUGGUAGCGCAUCUGCUUUGGGAGCAGAGGGCCGGCGGUUCGAAUCCGUCCACCCCGACCA
rnacentral:tRNA from 5 species